rnacentral:rRNA from 1 species
GACGAACGCUGGCGGCGUGCCUAACACAUGCAAGUCGAGCGGAAAGGCCCUUCGGGGUACUCGAGCGGCGAACGGGUGAGUAACACGUGAGUAACCUGCCCCAGACUUUGGGAUAACCCUCGGAAACGGGGGCUAAUACCGGAUACGACACAGCUUCGCAUGGGGUCUGUGUGGAAAGUUUUUCGGUUUGGGAUGGGCUCGCGGCCUAUCGGCUUGUUGGUGGGGUGAUGGCCUACCAAGGCGACGACGGGUAGCCGGCCUGAGAGGGCGACCGGCCACAAUGGGACUGAGACACGGACCAGACUCCUACGGGAGGCAGCAGUGGGGAAUAUUGCACAAUGGGCGGAAGCCUGAUGCAGCGACGCCGGGUGAGGGAUGACGGCCUUCGGGUUGUAAACCUCUUUCAGCAGGGACGAAGCGUAAGUGACGGUACCUGCAGAAGAAGCGCCGGCCAACUACGUG